rnacentral:rRNA from 1 species
CCUACGGGAGGCUGUAGUCGAGAAUCAUUCACAAUGGGGGAAACCCUGAUGGUGCGACGCCGCGUGGGGGAAUGAAGGUCUUCGGAUUGUAAACCCCUGUCAUGUGGGAGCAAAUUAAAAAGAUCGUACCACAAGAGGAAGAGACGGCUAACUCUGUGCCAGCAGCCGCGGUAAUACAGAGGUCUCAAGCGUUGUUCGGAAUCACUGGGCGUAAGGCGUGCGUAGGCUGUUUCGUAAGUCGUGUGUGAAAGGCGCGGGCUCAACCCGCGGACGGCACAUGAUACUGCGAGACUAGAGUAAUGGAGGGGGAACCGGAAUUCUCGGUGUAGCAGUGAAAUGCGUAGAGAUCGAGAGGAACACUCGUGGCGAAGGCGGGUUCCUGGACAGUAACUGACGCUGAGGCACGAAGGCAAGGGGAGCGAAAGGGAUUAGAUACCCCAGUAGUC